UACGUAGGGGCGAGCGUUGUCCGGAAUUAUUGGGCGUAAAGAGCGUGUAGGCGGUUCGGUAAGUCUGCCGUGAAAACCCUGGGGCUCAACCCCGGGCGUGCGGUGGAUACUGCCGGGCGUAGAGGGUGGUAGAGGCGAGUGGAAUUACCCGGUUCGUAGCGGUGAAAUAGCGUAGAUAUCGCUUGGAACGCCGACGGUGAAAACAGCUCGCUGGGGUCCGAUCUGACGCUGAGACACGAAAGCCAGGGGGAGC
rnacentral:rRNA from 1 species